GGGUUCUGAUGCUUAUUGCACCACAUGUGUUUUUCUUUGAAACAAACUUGCUUUGGCGGUGGGCCCAGCCUGCCGCCAGAGGUCUAAACUUACAACCAAUUUUUUAUCAACUUGUCACACCAGAUUAUUACUAAUAGUCAAAACUUUCAACAACGGAUCUCUUGGUUCUCGCAUCGAUGAAGAACGCAGCGAAAUGCGAUACGUAAUAUGAAUUGCAGAUAUUCGUGAAUCAUCGAAUCUUUGAACGCACAUUGCGCCCUCUGGUAUUCCGGAGGGCAUGCCUGUUUGAGCGUCGUUUCUCCCUCAAACCGCUGGGUUUGGUGUUGAGCAAUACGACUUGGGUUUGCUUGAAAGACGGUAGUGGUAAGGCGGGAUCGCUUUGACAAUGGCUUAGGUCUAACCAAAAACAUUGCUUGCGGCGGUAACGUCUACCACGUAUAUCUUCAAACUUUGACCUCAAAUCAGGUAGGACUACCCGCUGAACUUAAGCAUAUCAAAAGCCGGAGGAA
rnacentral:rRNA from 1 species